GGAUGAACGCUAGCGGCAGGCUUAACACAUGCAAGUCGAGGGGUAACAGGGGUAGCAAUACCUGCUGACGACCGGCAAACGGGUGCGGAACACGUACAGAAUCUACCUUGAUCUGGGGCAUAGCCCGGAGAAAUCCGGAUUAACUCCCCAUAACAUAUAAGAGUGGCAUCACUUUAAUAUUAAAAAUUUAUUGGAUCGAGAUGACUGUGCGUCCCAUUAGCUAGUUGGUAGGGUAACGGCCUACCAAGGCGACGAUGGGUAGCUGGUGUGAGAGCACGACCAGCCACACGGGCACUGAGACACGGGCCCGACUCCUACGGGAGGCAGCAGUGAGGAAUAUUGGUCAAUGGACGCAAGUCUGAACCAGCCAUGCCGCGUGAAGGAUGAAGGCCUUCUGGGUUGUAAACUUCUUUUACCUGGGAAGAAACCCCGAUUUUCUAAUCGGGUUGACGGUACCAGAGGAAUAAGCACCGGCUAACUCCGUGCCAGCAGCCGCGGUAAUACGGAGGGUGCAAGCGUUAUCCGGAUUUACUGGGUUUAAAGGGUGUGUAGGCGGGUCUUUAAGUCAGUGGUGAAAUCUCCGAGCUCAACUUGGAAACUGCCAUUGAUACUAUUGAUCUUGAAUUUUGUUGAGGUAGGCGGAAUAAGUCAUGUAGCGGUGAAAUGCAUAGAUAUGACUUAGAACACCAAUUGCGAAGGCAGCUUGCUAAACAAAUAUUGACGCUGAGGCACGAAAGCGUGGGGAUCAAACAGGAUUAGAUACCCUGGUAGUCCACGCCCUAAACGAUGAUUACUCGACAUACGCGAUACACAGUGUGUGUCUGAGCGAAAGCAUUAAGUAAUCCACCUGGGAAGUACGACCGCAAGGUUGA
rnacentral:rRNA from 1 species